UUUUAAAGGUGUACGUACAUACACGGAAAUAUUUUUAUAUUUUAAAACAAGGUUUCUAUAAAAAAUUGCAUUAUAAUGUGCAUUUGGUUUUAAGCAGCAGGUUUGAGGUGUGUACAUAUGACGUAAAAGUGAGAACGGAUGUCACUUUAGCGGAAAACUUAUUGAUGACUACUCUCUGUUCGCGUUGACUUUGUGCUUUGAAAAUCUGUAAUAACUUCUGCACAAUAGGGCAGACAGUAACGAUCUUGGUAUCGUUCGAAACCGCAAGUUCCCGGAUUUUCUAUAGUUAGGGUAACGACGGCGUAUGUAUUACACAGGCGGUUUGAUAAGGCUUUUUCAUAUCAAAAGUCGUUAGGGUUCUUAACUCAUUAAGAAGGUAUGGUCUUACAGCAAGAAUGCUGCUAAUAUUCUCGUUCUGCUUUGUCUUGAUAGCCUGCGACUUCCUCUACUGUUACCUAACAUCUUUAUAUUGUAAUAUGACCUCUAAAUUGUACAGUUAAUGGGAUAUCUCUUAACAUCUGAGUGUGGUAAACAAAUACAGCUGCAUCAUUAGUGACUUCCGAGCGCAAAGUCAACGCGAACAGAGAGUAGCUUAGGCAGUGAAUGCGACAGAACAAGCGGCUCUAGUUAUGAAGACAGCAGGCGAGCUCAAGAAAGCUCUGCGUAAUCAUACUCUUCACGAGGUACGAUCGGUAGCGGGCAAAACACUAUUGUUUACAAACCUUUAGUAUUGUAUGGAGUAGAUACUGGUGAUGUGGAGCAUCAUUAAAAGGCUCGGAAGAUGUUGAAAGUGAAGCUGUAGAAUAGGUGGAGCUGUCUAACGUUGAGCUUGUCAGUGAGACACUAUCGCUGGUAGCACCCGAAGAUGAGCAAAGCGAAGGACUACUUGAUUUAUCAUGGUGUAGUUGUGGUUGCUGACUUCUGGCCGACAGUGGGCUGAAUGUAUUGCUCAGCGUGGUAACCUGGUGUAUCAAUUGGAAGAUGCAUGGGGUCAAUGUGUGUCAUUUGCAAACCUUGACUCGAGGGCAGUCCAGAUGGUAAAAAGAGAGGUUUCUGUGCCGAAAACAGAACUGAGAUUUUCAUCAGCAUCAACAGGGUUAUUGAAGCUGCCAGUGUUUCAUAUUGUGCAAGGCCUUCAAAUUCUUGGCUCAAUGGAUCGUCUUCUUAAGUCCUUUGGUGCAAGACUUUGGCAGCACAUCCUGAAACCUACAAUUGAGACUUCCAG